UAUUGACAAAAUCCGCAAUCACUUAGUUAUCAACCCAAUAUACAAGAUUUCCAAAACAUCUAUAAAGAAUGAAAUUCUAAAACGUCCGGAAUCAGAGGAACAGAACGCGGAACGUGAACGAAUUCCUGCUAAACGUUGCCAUCACCGGCUGCCAGGAUGUUCUCUGUCGGUGUCCGUAGUCUGAGACGUCCCGUCAUCGACCUUGAAACUUCAGGUCGGAGAACCGAGAGAGGUUUCGCCUUGGGUAAUCGGUGCCGCGGACUCGAAAACUAGGCCUGUGCCUGCGGUGACGUCGUCUUCGUUAUACGUUCCGAUGUUGUAUACAGUGAACGAACAGUGAUGAGAGGCGUGGAGACGACGAGGACGAAAGAGACGCGAAGCGAGCGUGGAGGAGCAGUGAGGAGAGCAAUAAGACAGAAUGUGUUGGUGAACGAAGGAGAGAGAGAAAGAGGAAAAAAAAGAUAUGCACAAUGUAUACGGAGAAGGAAAGAGAAAGAAAGACAGAGGCGCGUUCGCGGUAACGAAACAAAUAGGCCGGCGACUUUCACCGCGUAUCCAAGAACGGCAACACGACAUACAGCGAACACAGGCUGAGCGCUCUUGGCCCAAACCACUCGAGUAUGAGGUGUACCCUCGCUCACCAACGUCCUCGAGGGUGGGGGGAAUCCUGCUUCGAAGCCGCCAGACACGAGGCAUACCCUGAGAGCCAGCGAACGGACCUCGAUUCUUUUUCUUUCGCCCGUGUGUCGCACGUGUUGUCUCUAUUCUCCGUGGUGGCCCGGCUACGACUUCACUGUGCCUCCAUCCACCAUACAGAAAGUGUCUUUUCGUUGAUCUCCGCUGUUUUGAUAUCUCUUUCUUUUUUU